rnacentral:rRNA from 1 species
GCAUAAUCAUUUGCCUUUUAAUUGAAGGCUGUAUGAAUGGAUAAACGAAACUAAAGCUGUCUCAUUAAAACAUAUAUAAAUUAGCCUUUAGGUGAAGAUUCCUAAAUUUAUCUAAAAGACAAGAAGACCCCAUAGAGUUUUAGCUUAAUAACUUUUCUUUACUUUAUUAACCUUUGGUUGGGGCGACCAAGGAUUAAAUAAAACAUCCUUAACAAAAUAGAUUUAUUAAUCUCUUUUAAGACCCUAUUUUAUUGAUCUUCAGAAAAAACUACCUUGGGGAUAACAGGCUUAUCUUCCUAGAGAGCUCAUAUUGAUAGGAAGGU